GAAAUAUAACAUCCAAGGCUUCUAACCUAAAUAAAAGUGAAUUAACAUCAUUUAUAUUUCU
rnacentral:tRNA from 1 species